GACGAACGCUGGCGGCGGGCCUAACACAUGCAAGUCGAACGACGUGGCGAACGGGUGAGUAAUACGUGAGUGACCCGCCCUCCUGUUUGGGAUAAGCCUUGGAAAAGGGGUCUAAUCACGAAUAAAGGGGGAUGGGCCCGCGGCGUUUCAGCUUGUUGGUGGGGUGAUGGCCUACCAAGGCGGGGGCGGGUAGCCGGCCUUAGAGGGUGACCGGCCACAUGGGGCCUGGGCUACGUCCCAGACUCCGACGGGAGGCAGCAAUGGGGGAUAUUGCACCAUGGGCGAAAGCCGGAUGCAGCGACGUCGCGUGGGGGAUUAAGGCUUUCGGGUUGUAAUCCUCUUUCGCUAUCGAACGGUUAUGUGGAGAAGAAGCGCCGGCUAACUACGUGCCAGCAGCCGCGGUAAUUC
rnacentral:rRNA from 1 species